AAAACAAGAAGAGGAAGUAGAAAAGGAUACGAAAGAGAAGAAAUAGAAGAAAAAAGGAAGAAGAAAAACAAUUAAUAAUAACUAUAAGAAAAAGAAGAAGAGGAAGAAGAAGAGUAGAAAAAGAAGGAUAAGAAAAAGAAGAAAAAAAGGAAUAGAAGAUUGAUUGAUUGAUUGAUUGAUGGAUAGUUUAAGUAAAAGAAGAAAAAGAAAAAGGAUAGGAAGAAAAAAAGACGAACAAGGAAAAGAAGAACCCCAACAGAGCCAUUGAGAACCAACAUACCGACACAUUUCCACUUCCACCGUACUAGGUCUGUGAACCCUGUUUUUUUACGACUUGAAGUUACUCCUUGACACCUGUUGUGAUCAUGAAUAGCUCCCGACACCUGCCUUGCCGCACACCUGUCCACACCCACCACCAACACCGCCUCGCCGGGCCGCCACUCCCUCCCAAGCACCACAGUGGACAGCUGGCCGCAGAACACCGAGCCAUGCCUGUGCCAACCCUAUGUCUGGCUCAGUACACAACACAAGUAUUUUUAUCAUAGUGCCCCCUUCAUCUUGUGUCACCAGCACCACCCUACCCCUGCCCAUCUCUCUCUCUCUCUCUCUCUCUGCCUAUAUUAUUUUGUGACCAUUCUAAUCUUAAGACCGCAAAAAGAUUAUUUGUAACAAGCACAACAUUUAGCAGAUUAUGCAACGUGGUAGUAGAUUCAAUAUGUUUACAAAAAAUCAUGAUGUUAUUUCGGUAUUUUAUUUUUAAUGCCAAGGACGCAGUCACUGGCGCCGCAGCUCCUCUAUCUUAAGAAAAAACUAGCUCUGCAAAGCCAACUAAUCCAUCCUUAAGCCCAAGUGCCACCCCUAAGCCCUUCCUGUAGGCUGCCCCGGCAGCCGUCAGGUGGUCUAGAGGGCGGAGGGAAACCCUGAUUUUGGUUGCAAAUACCACAACACUACUUCAAACUGCAUGAAUCAAGAAGCCAAGCACAGCUAAGAAUGACAGGCUACUGUUGCUUGGCCGUGCCGAACAUCUGCAGAGCCAAAUGUGCCUCCAUGCUACAACACCUGCACAUGAAGAUGAAGUCCCCAUGCAUAAACUAAACUCCUAAGCCCAGCCCUCUCCCUCACCCUCAAGCCCAUUUCCAUUUUGCCUCUUCCCAUUCCCUGUGCAGGGGUGGGAGCUUAAACCAAUAGAAAUUAAAAGUACAGUCAGAGGAGAAAAUACCCUACAAAAAUGGGCCACUUCACCCAUUCCAGCACUCUUGCCAUGCCUCCUCAGAUCCCAGUAGCUGGAAUUGCAACACCAACAGCACCAAUAACCAGUAUCAACAAUGUAGCAUCCAGCCUCCUGACAGACAAAUAAACUUAUCCAAAGAAUAUAAAAACCUCUCCUUUAAUGGUCCAAACACAGAAG